rnacentral:rRNA from 1 species
UGGGGAAUAUUGCACAAUGGGCGCAAGCCUGAUGCAGCCAUGCCGCGUGUGUGAAGAAGGCCUUCGGGUUGUAAAGCACUUUCAGCGGGGAGGAAGGCAGUGAGGUUAAUAACCUCAUCGAUUGACGUUACCCGCAGAAGAAGCACCGGCUAACUCCGUGCCAGCAGCCGCGGUAAUACGGAGGGUGCAAGCGUUAAUCGGAAUUACUGGGCGUAAAGCGCACGCAGGCGGUCUGUCAAGUCGGAUGUGAAAUCCCCGGGCUCAACCUGGGGACUGCAUUCGAAACUGGCAGGCUAGAGUCUUGUAGAGGGGGGUAGAAUUCCAGGUGUAGCGGUGAAAUGCGUAGAGAUCUGGGGGAAUACCGGUGGCGAAGGCGGCCCCCUGGACAAAGACUGACGCUCAGGUGCGAAAGCGUGGGGAGCAAACAGG